AGAAAAUGAAAAUUAAACCAGAAGAAAAGAAAAGAAACACAGUGAGCUUGUUUGGAGUCCAUAGGAUCCGAUCUGGAAGAGCUCGGAAAAUGUGUUAUGUGUCUUCUCCUGUUUUCGGCUGGAAAGAAAAGCGGAAGCCAUACAUACUGAGAAGCGAGGCGAGGCCGGCGCAGGGAUAUGCUCUGGCUAUACUUCCACGGACGGUUUUUCUGGCGGUUUCGUACCCCGUCAUCCUGGUCCAUCAUCUGUUCUAGGAGUGUCUGGUCAUCUGCAUUCAGAGGAGCCACAGAAAUGUCCCGCACGGCACGGAAUUCACCACAGUUAUUCAGAUGUUCAUUCUCCAGGCGGAAGAAGUUCCACACAAAUCGCCUUAGCAAAAUAGGGAGACAGACUGGUCUUCCUUGGAAUGUCCUCCUAGGUUUAGAGAUCAAAGCCAUGCUGGUUGGACAAAAUGGAACUGGGAAGUGUUCCUUUUAUUGCCUCUUUUCUCUGGAAGAGUUUUGUGUAAAACUGGUAACAUUUCCUCAUAUUUCUGGAGGAAUUCCUUGGGCCUACCAUUUUCCUCAUGAGAAGUUUAAUAUGAAUAUAAUUUCUUUAACAGAUAUAAGCCUAUCAGAUUUUCUAUUUUAUUGGUUUUGAUAAACAGUGCUUCUCAAGGAAUUUGUCCAUUCCAUGUCA